rnacentral:tRNA from 3 species
GUCCCUAUGGUCAAGCGGUUAAGACACCACCCUUUCACGGUGGAAACUCGGGUUCGAGUCCCGAUAGGGAUACCA